rnacentral:snoRNA from 15 species
AAGACUAUACUUUCAGGGAUCAUUUCUAUAGUUUCUGUCUUGAGAAAUGUGUUUCUAAAGUGUUUGGUCUCGCUAACCACGAUGAUGAGUCGUGAUAUUUCCUUCUGAGCGUGAAGCUGACAGAGAAUUAUGAUUCAUAUAAUGAGUUCAUAUGUUCUCUGUCAUUGAUGACCGUUCAUUGUUUCCUAGAGGAGCAUUGAGGAAGGGAAUAUGAUCAGAGUAGU